GCGUUCUGAUACCACUUGUCACGGGCUCAUUUUUCAACGUGUCAGCGGCACACAAUUCUGCCCGUGCGGCGCCCAUGGUUCCCCCAACUAUGGGCCAGCCUUCCUCAUUUCCCAGGUCUUUAGCACGAUCCUGUGCUUGUGGGAAGCUCUCCUCAGAGGCUUGCCCCCUUUGGUGCCGCUCCUUCAACAUGUCGGCUGACAUGGCCAACGUAUAAGCAACUCUUCUGGCGCACCUUUAAUUCGUGGAUCUCAUCCAUAGGCGCUCCUGGGGAUGGCUAUGGACAUACUCGUCCCUUGC